rnacentral:pre_miRNA from 1 species
GUUUGAUAUUAAUACUAACAUCAAAAGUAGAUUGCUUGCCAUUUGGUUAGGAAUUGGUCUGCGGCAUUUUCCACAAGUGUGGUUUCCCUGGCCAAUCCACUUGUAAUGUGUAUUUUGUAAAUAACGCAAAAUGUGCAUUAGAAGUGGAUUGGUCAAGAGAACCGCACUUGUGCAAAAUACCGCAGUCCAAUUUCUGACAAAAUGACAAGCAAUCCAUUUUGGAUGGCUUGUCUGUAUCGAGC